UACGAAGGGGGCUAGCGUUGCUCGGAAUCACUGGGCGUAAAGCGCACGUAGGCGGGUCUUUAAGUCAGGGGUGAAAUCCUGGAGCUCAACUCCAGAACUGCCUUUGAUACUGAGGAUCUCGAGUCCGGGAGAGGUGAGUGGAACUCCGAGUGUAGAGGUGAAAUUCGUAGAUAUUCGCAAGGACACCAGUGGCGAAGGCGGCUCACUGGCCCGAUACUGACGCUGAGGCACGAAAGCGUGGGGAGCAAACAGG
rnacentral:rRNA from 1 species